AUCUCAGGUAAGCAGCACUGGGCGUUCUUCCGUCCAACUUUUACAUAGCUAGUAGUUCGCGCCUACGAUUCAGUGUCGGUUCUUAACAUUGUACUAUAUUACAUAGAUACAUACAUACCGUAGAGUGAUAAAUAAUGCAAUUAUUAUUCCUAUUAUUAUCAUGCUAACCAAAAGCAUUUAGCUACGAACGACUGUUCUCGCCAUUUUCAGUUGAAUUGAUCUAACUUUCUUUCAUGGCAACUCAUAAGCAGGCCAUGUCGUAUUUGUUUCAUAGUCGAUAUAUAAUCAUAUUUCAUGACAGUGUAACGGUUAGCUUUGUUUACAGAAGGAUGAAAGAACACUCUCUGUCGGGGAAUGCUAAUCUGAUAUGUGAGAUGAAGAGUUAGACCAGAAAGUCAGCGCCAUUAAGGCAAGGAUGCCCCCAUGCGGGCUUUAGAAUGGUCAAAGGACGUCUCAGAGUAACGGGUCAUCGUGUACAAUGGAGAAGAGUUAUGGAGUCUUUGCAGCGUGUAGAUGGUGCGGGUAUCAUUGCCAGAAUGAUCCAGCUGUUCCUGCUCCCCUGUCUCUCGUCCACAUGGAUAUACAUUGAUAAAGUACUAAGCUGUAUAAUGUCUCCAUCAAAUCUAAGAAGUUAUGUUAACAUUUUUAAUUCUUAUUCCUAGACACGUUUUCAAUGAUGUAUGAAAUUGGAAUUGUUCUUCAUCAACUGGUAAUACGUAAAUAGUGAAGCAGGUUAAUAGGUUAAACAUUUCACUUUUAUUUCCAAUGCUUUUUUUCAAGAUACAACAGGUAAGUAUAUUAUUUUGUAUACAAACUGCAUAUUUCCCAUCACCUAAUGAACAACCACAAUACCAGUCUGGUGUUAAGCUUUCUGUGCUGUAUUGGCGUAUCCUGAAAAUGGCAUCUGCUGUAGAUUGAACGGUCAUAUCUCAGUUAUUGUUUUCAUAUCUACAAAAAAUAAGCUUUUGUCUUUACUUUCAGAGUGCGGGCUGAUCAAGUGGUCGAAAAUGUAGAUAUUGCAUUGUCCGAGGAACAGGCCAUGGAAGCUAUAUUGCUGGCAAAAGUGUCCAUAACCAGAGCGACCAUUCCUAUACAUGAAGUGUGGUGCAGUGGCCUCAGGGAGAAGAUAGCCUACACCUACAGUAGAUGGAGGAUCAGCAAGUUUACCGACCACCUACAAAGAUCUGACCUACGCACCCAACAUAGCCACUCCCAUUCCAUAUAGCCCAAGACCUGAAAGGUAAUAUCUCCAGCAAGUUUGGAGUUUAAGAGAUGAGCCAUUAUGAGGUGGAGCCGUCCACCAACCCAAGAACACGCUCAACACUAUAGUAUCCAAACUCGUGUCAGAUUGACUCUUACUUUCAGGGGACGUCAUAAGUCACAGGUGAGGUCCUUGGGAACAAGGCUGCAUGCAUGUUCAUCAGAAUUUGGGUGAAUGAAAAAAAACAUAUAUAAUCGGGAUCAAGAAGAUGUCAUCAGAUGAACAAGCAAGAAAGCAUGGAAGUAUCAUCACCAAAAGCAUCAGUUACCCUACCAGAAUUGUAACAUGUUCCAUUGCAUGUGAAAUGACUUGAUAGCCCGUGUCCAAUGCAUUUGCAAUGUAUUUAGAAACCAAAAAGGCACUCCAAACAACCUUUAAGGUGUUUGUGAAAGCAAAGACGGGUGGAAUGCUUUUUUAAUGUGUUAAAAUAUGACUUGUGUUACAAGAAAAUGUGUUAUUGUGAAAUGAUAGUAUAUCAAACAAGUUUUGAGCAUUUACAUUUCCAGUAGGUUUCCCUCACAAAAUUAUUUAAUAGAAUAAUCAUAUGUGUACUAUUAGCAAAUAAUAUCGCUAAAGUUCAACGUACUAGAUAGAGGCAAGACCAAUUUUCUUGGAAAAUAUGGAUAAGGAAGGUAUCAUGUUCAAUGAAUGGCAUUGUAAAUCAGGAUGGUAAAAUGUUGUCACACAAGCAAUUAACAAAGGUAUGUAUGGCAUAUAACCAACUCAUUACAGCUCUACCACAAAAAUGAAAGGCAAUUUCUCAAAAGAGAAAGGAAUUAAUUGUUUUUUUCUGCCUCCAAUGAAAAACCAGGCAUGGCUUAAAAUGAAUAGUAUAAAUCGUAAAAUGUAUCAGUUUCAUUUAACUAUUCUGCAUAAAAUUCAAGAUAGUUGGGAACAGAUUUUUGAUGUCCCAAUACCAUGGGAUCAGGUUUAUGAACUGAUAUACAAAACAACAAUUGACGCAUUAAUCCGUUCUUUUCAAUGUAACCAUUAAAUCAAAUCAAAUCUAAUUUUAUUUGUCACAUACACAUGGUUAGCAGAUGUUAAUGCGAGUAGUGUAGCGAAAUGCUUAUAUAAACUUCUCACCACGUGGCCUCCCGACAGUGCUUGAGGCAUUUCUGCAGAUCCAGGUAAGAUCCCGGGCUGUGUCGCAGCCGUCCAUGACCGGGAGACCCAUGAGGUGACGCACAUUUGGCCCAGUGUCGUCAGUGUUAGGGGAGGGUUUGGCCGGCCGGGAUGUCCUUGUCCCAUCACGUUCUAGUGACUUCCGUGGCGGGCCGGGCACAUGCACGCUGACAUUGUCGUCAGUUGUACAGUGUUUCCUACGACACAUUAGUGCGCGUGGCUUCCGGGUUCGGCAAGCAGUGUGUCAAGAUUCCGUACGGGAGUUGCAGGAUGGGACAAGACUGUAACUACCAAUUGGAUAUCAUGAAAUUGGGGAGAUUAUUAUAUAUUUUUUUACAUUCUCCCCACUAAAAUAAUGCUCAAUAUAUGGGGCAUUGAACAGUCGGCUCUGUGCGGACUCUACCACAAGAAUUAUCAAUAGAUAAUCUCUUUUGACAUUGUCCUUCGGUGACUCACUUUUGGAGAGGUCCAGGAGUUGUUGUUUAUGUGAUAAUACCAGAGAAGCCAGUGUUUGGAUUUAAAUGCUGGCACCGGUGUUGUUAGGCCUGAGACGAAGUCGAGCAAACCGUGCCAAUAUAUCCUUCAAACACCGGCUUCGAGGGCAUUUUUGAUGUCUUCAUUAUUAUUUUUGAUGUAUUUUUGAUGUCUUCAGUAUUAAUCUGCAAUGUAGAAAAUAAGAAAAAUAAAGAAAAUCCCUUGAAUGAGUUGGUGUGUCCAAACUUUUGACUGGUCCUUUAUUGGCCAGUCCAAAAUUACUUUAAUUCUGUAAUGGAAAUAAAUGUAUUUCCUUUUACCAAGUAAUUUACGGUGUCUAUGCCUUUAGUUUUCCAUGUGGACCAAGUUAGCGUGGAAUGCUGAAAGCAAAGGAUUGGCCAUAAGGUUGUGUUUUUAGGGAGUGAUAUUGGUUUUUGUACAACAAUUUUCUUCCAUAUUGUUAUAGUUUUCUUAACUAUGAAGUUUUUAAUGUUCUUUGCUUUAUCCUUUGAAAAUAGACACUUAAAAAGAUUCUGGGGAUGAGUAUGCACAUCUUCAAUAUGUACCCAUUGUUCCUCUUUAGUGCAUUUAACUGCAUGUCACAAGUAAAAGCCUUGAGUAGGGAGUUGAUACAAUUCCAAGACUGGAAAGUUAAAACCACCCUCCGACUUAGGAAAAUGUCAAUAUUUUACUAGACCAUAGAAAUUCUGUUAUGACCGAGAAUACUUUUUUAGAGAAUGUCUUCGGUGGGGUAAUUUAUAUUGCUUAAAUAAAUACAAAAACCUUAGGAGCCAUGCCAUUCUAAAGAGGUUUAUUCUGCCUGUAAGAUUUAUGGAAAGAUUAUUGUUUUUAAUUUGAUCUGCUUUCAUAUUAUUGAGUAAUAGAAUAAAGUUAUCUUCAUAAACUGAACAAAAGUAUAAAUGCAACAUGUAAAGUGUUGGUCCCAUGUUUCAUGAGUUGAAAUAAAAUAUCCCAGAAAUGUUUUGUAUGCACAAAAAGCUUAUUUCUCUCAUAUUUUGUGCACAA